AAGAAUGCUUGCAUGUUCGUGGAAGGGACAGUGUCGAGCUAGCCGAGAAAGGGUGGCAGUGACUCAGACGGAAGCCACGCCCACGUGAGGAGAUCCAACAUGUAUCUCGGUUUACUAAAUUACAACACAACAAUUUAAACCAGCGUUAAGCAGGGAAGAGCAGAGAUCUAAGUGCGGACGAUGCGCCCCGUAUUCGCGGCGCAAAUGAAAUUUGGGCGGUGCAGCGUUGCAUGUUAGAAAUUUAAUUGAAGAAUCAAAUGAUGAGUAGAAUGAUGGGUGGCAGCGAUUCAGCGAAGUGAAGCACUCAAGGCUCAUGUGGAGUACUUGCUUCAUUUCAAUUGACUUCAUGUCCCAAUAUAAAUUGAUUUGAAAAUGCUCGAUGGAUUGAAGAAUCAAAUGAUGAGUAUGAGUUUCUAUUCAAAAUUGUUUGUUGACGAUUAAUAGAUCUUCGUGUUUAUUGAUCAGAACAGUUUAUCUUAUAAAUCACUCUAUAAAUAUCUUUUCUGCAAAUAAUCGAUUAAAACAAAGGUUGUUUAAUCAUCGAACUAUAUAAAACAGAUGAAUGAAAUUGAUAAAA